AUUGAACGCUGGCGGCAGGCCUCACACAUGCAAGUCGAACGAGUGGCGGACGGGUGAGUAAUGUCUGGGAAACUGCCUGAUGGAGGGGGAUAACUACUGGAAACGGUAGCUAAUACCGCAUACCAUCGGAUGUGCCCAGAUGGGAUUGGCUAGUAGGUGGGGUAAAGGCUCACCUAGGCGACGAUCCCUAGCUGGUCUGAGAGGAUGACCAGCCACACGGGAACUGAGACAAGGUCCAGACGCCAACGGGAGGCAUCAGUGGGGAAGAUUGCAAAAUGGGCGAAAGCCUGAUGCAGCCAUGCCGCGUGUAUGAAGAAGGCCUUCGGGUUGUAAAGUACUUUCAGCGGGGAGGCGUUACCCGCAGAGGAAGCACCGGCUAACUCCGUGCCAGCAGCCGCGGUAAUAC
rnacentral:rRNA from 1 species